UACGGAGGGUGCAAGCAUUGAUCGGAAUUACUGGGCGUAAAGGGCGCGUAGGCGGAGAGGAAAGUCAGAUGUGAAAUUCCGGGGCUCAACCCCGGAGCUGCAUUUGAAACUUUCUUUCUAGAGUUUAGUUAGGGAAAACGGAAUUCCACGUGUAGCGGUGAAAUGCGUAGAUAUGUGGAAGAACACCGGUGGUGAAGACGGUUUUCUGGGCUGAUACUGACGCUGAGGCGCGAAAGCAAGGGGAG
rnacentral:rRNA from 1 species